rnacentral:tRNA from 1 species
GGGGAGUUUAACGUUUUGAAAUGCUGACCGAUUCCCAGCUAUCAUUUUAUUCUACUUUUCUUUCAUAACAUAAUUCUACUUCUACUUCAACGUGCAACAGAAAACGUUUCUUUUCAACGUUUUACUGAAACGUUAUCUAGCCUUUCGAGCCCGUGGCCCGGGUUCAAAUCCCGGCCGCGGCA